GAGAGGAGGAGUGGGAGGGUGGGUGCGGAAGGUGCUGGGGUCCCUCGAGGCCCUGGAGUGCAGCGAGCCGUCGGUUUGAGGAUGGCGCCGAGAGGCCUGCUGCUCAGCCCAGGCCGGCCUGGGGUGCUGGUUUGGCUCUGGGCCUGGUAGCACAGGAAGACUCAAGAAGGGGAGCGAGAGCCUGAAAAGUGAGGGAGCGCAGUGCACAGGAGCCUUUCUUUUCUAAGGGGCUUGGGGAGCUUCCUGGUGCAGAGGGACGCAUCAGCGCCAGAUGGAGCAGGGUCUGCCGGAUCUGUCUCAUCUUCGGGCGUGUUCGUUUUUCCUGCCGUUUGGUCACAGUGCUGGGAUCUUGCUGUGGGGUCUGGAGUGGUAAAGGGCAUGGAUUCAGUGCUCCCCUGGAUCCUCUCUCCUGCUGGUUUACGCUAGGGCUCAGCACUAAGGACCACGUAUCAGCGGUAGUGCAUUUCCUUCCUGUUGUAGGCUUGUGCCUGAUGAGGCCUGUCUCGUCCUCUUCUCCCUGCUUGUUCUGUGGCCUCUGUCUCCUUGGAUGUUCUCUUCAUUUCUCUCCACUAGGUCUCCAGUUGCUCCCAGUGCUACCUCACAGUCUGUUAAAAACUCUCCCAUCCCUGGUCUUAGAACAGAGGCUGUAUCCUGCCCCGUCCUGGGGCUGGAAGAGGGAAGACGUUCCAUGCAAGUCGCCGGCAGCGUGUCCUCCCGACCACUGACCGGACCGGCCUGGGAACCCAUAUGGCCCUUGCCCUUUUUGCUUCUGUCCCUUUCCCCGUAGCUCACUGUGAUUCCAACACAACUAUUGUCACAUCAACCCAGGUCUGGAGGGUCGAAUGGGCCUGAAGCAGGCUAGGACAUGCCCUUCAGAGCGGCCUCCACUACAAUGCAGGUGCAGCCAAGCACCAGCCUAGGUGUCCCGGGAGCCGCAUGUGGUGGCCCCCAGUGGGAGAAUAAGUGGUUGCCCUCUGUUGGCAGAGCCCUGCACUAGCCGGGAGCCCACCCUCUUCCUAUGCCGGCCUGUGUUAGGGGCCUGGGGGUGUAGCUCAGUGAUAGGGCAUGUGCUUGGUGUGCAUGAGGCCCUGGGUUCAAACCCCAGCAUAAAAAAAUCUUUGAAAUUAUAAAAGCCCUUGUAACUUAUAAAAAAGAAAUACAGCAGAUUUCAGAAUUAAAAUUCCUCCCUUCCUUUGAUGUCACUGCUUGAGAUAACUACUGUUGGCCACUUGUCACAUACCUUUCUGGAUGUCUUUCUCUAUGUGCUCAAACCACAGAGACUUACUUCUGAUGGGGUGAUUUUAUGCAUAGUACAUAUAUUCUGCAGUUUGUUUUUCUCAUGAAAAUAUAUCACGGACAGCUUUCUACUCCACUGCCUAUGGUUCUGCCCUGUUUUCCUCAUGAUUGCCCAUUUUAGCACUGUAAGUCUGUGUGGUUUUAUUGGACCUGGUAUUCUGCUUUUGGAUCACUUCCAGGGGCCACCAGGGAAGCAGCCAGCCACUUCCUGGGGAGUCUUGGAGCCCCGACCCUGUGGUUAGGAGGACCAGAACUUGUAGCCACAUUUCCCAGCCCUGUCUGGCACGCUCAGCCUGCUGACUUCCCAAGGAGACCUAGAAAUAAACUUCUGCUUUUGUGCCAGAGCAGAGGCGCUAAACAUGCCACCUUCCCUCUUUAGAACAUGACAGGGGACUUCUCAAAAACCACAUUUCAUCAGAGAUAGGAGAUUCUCUGCCUGCCCUCCUCAGCCCACUCCACCCUGGCCCUGCAUGGACCAGAUGCAGAGACAGAAAAGGGAAUGCAGCUGGCUUUGAAUCCUGGCUGUCAUUUGAAGGCGACACCCUGUGUCUGACUCUUUGCAGAGGGAAUUCUGAGGAAGACGCCCGGCUCAGCCUGGUUCUCCUCAUGCUUCUCCGUACUUUGAGGAGUCAGCCCCAGGCUCUCCUCUCUGGCCCGGUGGAAGGAUGUCUGACUGUGGGCGCUUGAUUUGCCACUUCACACAGAUACCAGGGCUUCAGGCACUUCCUGCUUUUGAGGAGUUCCAGUUCUGGGGACAGAGGCUGUAAAUGAACAGUAUCAAUGAGGUAAGCAUUAUUAUAAUGAUGCCCUUUUAACACUUGGAAGAGAGGCGAACUCUGCCAGGAGGGAGGCGAGUCUUCUUGGGGUGAUACUUGGGCUGGUUUGAAAGGAUAAUCAGAUCCUCCCAUUGGAGAGGAUAUGAAAGGGUGGAGUCAGAGGGAAGUGCCCAAGGGCCAAGGCACUCACAGAACACGUCUCCUGGUAUCCAGGCGGGCGAGGGCAGGUCUUUUGUGCAGACACAUUUCACCGAGUAGUUGAAGGAGUGACUGAAAUAGAACACCAUCAUUUCACCACCCCAGUAAGUAGGUCUGAGCGUUGAGUGUCCGCAGCUGCUGGCAACCCAAAAGGAGCGGGGUCGCCUAGGAGGAAGUUAAGAAGUUGGGGCUGGGGAGUUCGGGUCAGUGGCGGAGUGCUUGCCUAGCACGUGGGGUGCUUUGACCCCAACACUGCAAAGAGAAAAAAUAUAUUCAAGCAUGGGUCUGGUCAAGCUCCUAUGUAACAGGAAAUAGGGUGGGGAAAUGUUAAACCACCCCAUAAAGAUUAAUGAGUGAAACGAGGGAAGGAUUACAAAACACCUGACUCAGUUCCUUUAAUAAAUGAGUUCAAGAAGAAAACAUUUUCAGAGGCCCUGCAGCUUUAAAAGAAAGACACAAUCUCAACGCAUGGGUCUGUUCUGGAUCCCAAUGUAAAGGUGACAUUUAUGAGACACUGGGCAUUCAAACACGAGCUGUCUGGUGCUACCCGGGCGAGAUGACUUUGUGAUGUGCUGUUGUGCGUGGUGGCUCCUCGGGAAUGGGUGCUGCAGUGGCCUGGCAUUUUGGUGGGUGACUGUUGCGGUCGGGGCAUCCACUCCUCAGCACCCAGGCGGGUAGGGCUCUGGAGGCUCACUGUAGUAUUCCAUUUGAUUUUUAUGCAGAUCUGAAAUUCCCUGUAAUGGUGGUGGACUUGAGAACAAACAGCUGCAUUCGGCUGGGGCGGGAGUGCUGGGAGCCACAGGAAGCAAGCCAGGUGGGGCAGUAGGAGCAGGGCUGGCGCUGGCUUAGGAAGCUCCUUUCCUGCCACCAGGAAGCCAGCAGGCAGCUUUCACCUUGCUGGGGAGGCCUGGGGGUGGGACCCCAGCAGCCACAAGAAAGGAGGAGAGCUGGCCCGGGGACCCUGGGUCACACUGUAACUAGAACAGCUCUGCUUCUCACUUCUGCUAAAUAUGGCUUUGGGGUAAUAUUUUAUUUAAAAACAGGAUUCUGGAAGAUUUAAAAAAUUUUCUCUAUUGCCACUGAGGGAACAGUGGAAUAUUUUAGAGGCUGUCACCUGAGCUGUAGUGUGGAAGACUGCAGUCCAGAAGCACAGAAGGUAGAGAAGUCAGCCACAGACUAAUUACAAUAUGCAGCGAAGGAGAAAUCUGUUUGUUUAUUUUUUUUGGUACCGGGGAUUGAACUCGGGUCCUUGCGCUUGAGCAGCAGGCGGCGAGGAGAAACCUGGAGAGGAAUUUAGCCCAGGGAGAUUAGGUGCAGGAGGGCAGCGUUUAUGCUGAUAUGUGUUUCCCAGGCCCCUUCUAGGGGGACACAAGGUGAAUGUGGAAAUGUGCUCACAGAUUUUCAGAGCAUCUGAGCCGGCCCCUCCCAGCACAUGGGAUGUGGGUUGGACCCAGUUCCCCGCUGAGAGCAGCAGCAGCACUCAGGGCCCCUCGCUGUGGCACAGUGUCCAGUCUGGUCCCCUGUGCACACCACUGCCGGGGUCAGGAGAUCGGGGUGAAGCCAUCGGGUCGGGCUCACCGUGGCUGCUUCUGUCCAGCUCCCUCUUCUCGAAUACCGCUGCUCCCUGUCCACACACUGCAUCUUCUGGACUGCCUUGCCUUCUUAUAACAGUUUCAUCUCUGGACGGAAAGACCCCAAAGUAGUUUACAGUUUUGUUUUUUGUCUCUGAACCCUUGGAGUUUGUCCAACUGGGAAAACCCGGGACCUUUUCUCCCGUUGACCUCUGCUGAGGCUGAGCCUCCUUGAUCCCCAGGUCUCCAGGGAUGAGGUGCUGCACCACGUUGCCUAUGUGGAAUGAAAAUAGGCUGUUAAUGUCCAAGACUUAAGGUGAAAAUCUCUUCUGUACAUUCUCACGAGUCUCCGCUCCGGUGUGCGUAUGAGCGUGCGUGUGUGUGCAUGUGAGUGGGUGUGUAUGUGUAUGUGUGUGUAUGUGUGUUUUAACCUUUCAAGUUGAAGCUUGGAUGAGGCCACCUUAGUUUUGAUCUUUUUUUGCUCAAGACAGUUUUUAACCUUGAGUCAUGGAACUUUGAUGGAAUUCCUUGAGAAUCUGAUAAUAGUUAUGGGUCUUCUCAAAACAACAACAAAACCAAACACAGAUCCAACCAAACAAAAUAACCUCACUUGUAUUUUGCCUGCAAUUUGAGUUUCUAGAUUUUUGCAUCAAAAACACUUGGGAAUGAGGACUGCCUGAUAAUAAAUCAGUACUCUCCAUCCUAUCCAGACCUAUUAAAUCAGAAUUUCUGGCAGGGACCAGCAGUUCACACAAGCCUCCUAGUAAUUUGUAGCCUCACUAACAGCGGCGAAGUUCUGCGGGAAAGACACUAAUCUCCCACCAGCCUCUUCUUCCCCCAGGCACUUGGCAGUGGCUUCGGGCUGAACCUGGAAAGUGAGCCCUGCUUGGAGGAGCUGUGGAAUCCCACAGGGAGGUCCGGGCCCUUCCCCUCAGGAGGUGGGAAUCCAGAGUCCAGCCCCUGUCCCAGAGAGCCCCUCUGCUGCUCUCUACCCAUUUCUCCGGUAUGGAUGAGAGCAGCCCACCGAGCACGAGGCCUGCUCGACUGAAGCUUUGCCUCUUCCCAGGCGCGUUAUUCCUGUGGCAUGGACAGCGAUCCAGGGCCUUGCAAGUGCAUUGGAAGCAUACAAUAAAAAGCUUUGCAGA